GAAAGAUGCUUCAAGAAAGGAAAACAUGGGUAGAGGUCUCUCCCUGCUUCUGGAAAGGAAAAAUGGAGCGCAGUGUGUUGGUGUGAACCAGACUGUCUAAGGAGAGGGAGGAAGAUGGAAGACUUAAGGGACUUAACACACCUGGACUUAAGGACUAAAACUAUUAAUGGCUUACCUGUAACAGACACACAGCCUAACGGAGCGAUCAGAGUAAUGGGAGCAAAUCCAUAGGCUGCAAAGUUCCCCGUCUCUCCCACGGCCAUCAGCAGGACACCACCCCACCACAGCACACUCUUGAAGUAUGGCCUUGG
rnacentral:lncRNA from 1 species